GAAACUCAAAGGAAUUGACGGGGGCCCGCACAAGCGGUGGAGCAUGUGGUUCAAUUCGACGCAACGCGAAGAACCUUACCUGGGCUUGACAUCCGCUGACCGUCCUGGAAACAGGAUCUUCCCCGCAAGGGGACGGCGAGACAGGUGCUGCAUGGCUGUCGUCAGCUCGUGUCGUGAGAUGUUGGGUUAAGUCCCGCAACGAGCGCAACCCUCAUCCUUAGUUGCCAUCAUUGAGUUGGGCACUCUAAAGGAAACUGCCCCGGUUAACGGGGAGGAAGGUGGGGAUGACGUCAAGUCCUCAUGGCCCUUAUCGCCCAGGGCUACACACGUGCUACAAUGGGCGGUACAAAGGGUAGCGAUGCCGCGAGGUGAAGCCAAUCCCAAAAAGCCGUCCACAGUUCGGAUUGGAGUCUGCAACUCGACUCCAUGAAGCCGGAAUCGCUAGUAAUCGUGGAUCAGCAUGCCACGGUGAAUACGUUCCCGGGCCUU
rnacentral:rRNA from 1 species